CCUACGGGUGGCAGCAGUGGGGAAUUUUGGACAAUGGGCGAAAGCCUGAUCCAGCCAUGCCGCGUGUGUGAAGAAGGCCUUCGGGUUGUAAAGCACUUUCAGUGGGGAAGAAAGCCUUGGGGCUAAUACCCUCGAGGAAGGACAUCACCCACAGAAGAAGCACCGGCUAACUCCGUGCCAGCAGCCGCGGUAAUACGGAGGGUGCGAGCGUUAAUCGGAAUUACUGGGCGUAAAGCGCGCGUAGGCGGUCUGAUAAGCCGGUUGUGAAAGCCCCGGGCUCAACCUGGGAACGGCAUCCGGAACUGUCAGGCUAGAGUGCAGGAGAGGAAGGUAGAAUUCCCGGUGUAGCGGUGAAAUGCGUAGAGAUCGGGAGGAAUACCAGUGGCGAAGGCGGCCUUCUGGACUGACACUGACGCUGAGGUGCGAAAGCGUGGGUAGCAAACAGGAUUAGAUACCCGAGUAGUC
rnacentral:rRNA from 1 species